rnacentral:rRNA from 1 species
AUGGAGGCCGUGGUGAGCGCCUCCCAUGGCGCCGUGCAGAUACUAUUGGGGAAGCUCGGCAACGUCCUCGCCACCAAAUACACGCUUCUCAGUGGUGUUCGCGGGGAGAUCCAGGAGCUCAAGGACGAGCUCGAGAGCAUGACCGCCUGCCUCCUCGAGCUCGCGGAUGGCGAUGAUCACAACGAACAAACUAGGACUUGGAUGAAACAAGUGAGGGAAGUCGCGUUCGAUGUGGAGGACUGUAUGGACAGGUUCUGCCAUCACCUCAGCGAGCACCAUGGAGACCGUAAAGGACUCCUGGAAUACCUCCAUAGGAUGUUCAACAUGGUGCGGACAUUGAGGGUGCGGCACACAGUGGCCACCGAUAUCCAGGGCCUCAAAUCUCGUGCCCAGAAAGUGAGCGAAAGGAGGCGCAGGUAUGAUCUAGGCGAGUCGGCAGGACGGUCAAGCAAAGCGCUUGAUUCUUCUUCGUACAGCCACCAUGACAAUCUGGACCGCUGGCUGCCAGCAAUCCAUGGUGACGGGUCUGGGCUAGUCGGGAUGGGCAACAUGACUCAUGCCGUGGUGAGGCUGCUCAGUGAGAAACGCCAGGCGGCGGCAGGUCCCCGAGUGCUGUCCAUAGUGGGUUUCGGUGGCCUCGGCAAGACCACCCUCGCCACGACCAUCUACAGCACUCCAAAGUUGGGUGGCAUCCAGUGCCGCGCUUUCAUUCCGGUGUCCCAGACAUAUGAUUUCCGUUCUCUUCUCGAGUCCGUGCUGAAGCAGCUUUCGACUUUGGCCGACAGUGAUAAAGAUGACGAUCCCCUCCGGAACAUUAAAAAAUGGACCAUAAGCGACUUGGUUGACAAGAUCAAACAAUGUUUGAAGCGUAAGAGGUACCUGAUCGUUCUGGAUGACGUCUGGCAAGCAGCUGCAUGGGAUCAGCUAAAGGUAGCUUUUCCUCAUGAUAAUGGUGAAGAGGGCAGCAUAUUAAUUACUACACGCAGUCACGAGGUGGCAAAAAAUUGCUGCACCUCUCCCAAUGAUCCUGUCUAUGAAAUGAAGCGGUUACAGAUGGAUGAUUCAGAGAAGCUAUUCUUCAAGACGGUCUUUGAGUCAGGGAAAUGUCCGAACGACCUGCUGAAAGUCUCCAAUGCCAUUUUGGCAAGGUGCAACGGUCUACCUCUAGCUAUAGUGAGCAUAGCACGAAUGCUAGCUCGGAGGCAAAACAAGACAUCGGCAGAGUGGCAAACAGUAUGUGAUAGGCUGGGUUCUGAACUGGAGAUAAACCCCACUUUAGAGGGAAUGAGACGGAUACUUGCUCUGAGCUACAAUGAUCUGCCAUACCAUCUGAAAGCAUGUUUCUUAUACCUGUGUGCUUUCCCUGAGGAUUUUGAGGUCAGAAGAGGCUCUCUGAUUAGACGGUGGGCAGCCGAAGGCUUAAUCUCUGGAAGGUAUGGUCACAGUUUGGAAGAGAUUGCUCAGAAUUAUUUGGAUGAGUUUGUCAGUAGAAACAUCGUCAGCCCUGAACAGAUUGGCUGUAGUGGCAAGAUUAAGAGUUGUAAAGUCCACGACAUAAUGCUAGAAGUUAUCACCGCUAAAUCUGUCAAGGAAAAUUUCAUCUCGUUCCUAGGGAGCAGUCAAUACAACACAACAGCAGGCCAUGACAAGGUACGAAGGCUCUCCAUCCAUCCUGGUGUCGCCAAGGAGCAGAUAACCUUUUCCAGUAAGAACAUAGUCCAUACCCGUUCACUGACAAUUCUGGACUGCAUUGAGAAACCUGUACCCAUCAAAUUUGCUGAGUUGACACUUUUAAGGGUUUUAGAUCUUGAAGGAUGUGGAUGGUUAAGCGAUAAGGAUCUCAAGGACAUUUGCAAACUGUCUCUGCUGAGAUACCUCAGCCUUAGAAAGACAACCAUAUCCCAACUACCAAAUGCAGUAGGGAAACUUAAAGAAUUGGUGACACUGGAUGUAAGGGAAACUCCUGUCGUCGAGUUUCCCAAAGGUAUCACUCGGCUCCAGAAUCUGAAUCAUCUACUUGUAGGCCGUUAUGCAUAUUACACAAGGACACGAAGUGUCAAGCGUUUUGGGGGGAAACGUGGAGCGAAGGUACCACUUGGAUUAGGGAAUAUGGUUGCCCUCCAGAGAAUCUCUCAUGUAGACAUCUCUACACAGAAAAGCUCCUGUGCAAUGCAUGAACUGGAAAAAUUGCGGCAGUUAACCAGACUUUGUGUAAUCAACAAGAAUGAAGCAAAGUUUUGGAAACCCUUUGCCAAGUCUUUGAAUGUGCUUAGCACCUCUCUUCGUUAUCUAAUGGUCCUGGAUGGUUCAGAGAAAGGCGAGGAGCUGGAAUUUUUAGUACGCCUAAAGGCCCCCCCUCUGUUUCUGCAGAGGCUGCAUUUGGGGGGACGGCUAACUAAGCUGCCUGACUGGGUAUCAUCGCUCAACAACUUGGCCAGUCUGUCGCUUCGAGAGACUCACCACUUGGCGGAGGAUUCCUUUGAGGUUCUAGGGAAGCUCCCCAGUCUUGUUUCUCUCAAGCUAUACUUCAGGGGAUAUGCUGGGAGUGCCUUAUGUUUUGAAGAGGACAGUUUUCCCCGACUGAAGCAAUUGGUUGUGGAUAAUCAGGAGUAUCUCCAGGAGCUGAGCUUCCAUGGGGGUUCACCCAAUCUUGAGAGGCUCACAUUGGCUUUCAGUAGGGUGCCUCGUGGAGGCAUUAACGGCAUUGAGAACCUGCUGUGCCUAAGAGAAGUUGAGUUCUUCGGUCACAUUAUAGAUUCUACAUUUAAUGAGGUGUUUGAGGCGGCCAAAAUACAUCCAAAUCGUCCGAAAGUCACCAGGGACGAUCAACCUUCUACGGAAGCUGCACAAGCAAGUUCAGGGGUGGGGUACAGUGAGCAGCAGUCAACCAACCAGCAGGUGGAUAGGCCUGCACUUCGGCGUGAAGAAGAUGACGAGGCAGCGCCAGCUUGGCGUCUGCUGCCUUCUAAGUGUCCUCUGGCUUAUAUACUGUAA